CCUACGGGAGGCAGCAGUAGGGAAUAUUGCACAAUGGGCGCAAGCCUGAUGCAGCAACGCCGCGUGAGGGACGACGGCCUUCGGGUUGUAAACCUCUUUUAGUAGGGAAGAAGCGAAAGUGACGGUACCUGCAGAAAAAGCACCGGCUAACUACGUGCCAGCAGCCGCGGUAAUACGUAGGGUGCAAGCGUUGUCCGGAAUUAUUGGGCGUAAAGAGCUCGUAGGCGGUUUGUCGCGUCUGCUGUGAAACCCCGAGGCUCAACCUCGGGCCUGCAGUGGGUACGGGCAGACUAGAGUGCGGUAGGGGAGAUUGGAAUUCCUGGUGUAGCGGUGGAAUGCGCAGAUAUCAGGAGGAACACCGAUGGCGAAGGCAGAUCUCUGGGCCGUAACUGACGCUGAGGAGCGAAAGCAUGGGGGAGCAAACAGGAUUAGAUACCCUGGUAGUCCAUGCCGUAAACGUUGGGAACUAGAUGUAGGGUCCAUUCCACGGAUUCUGUGUCGCAGCUAACGCAUUAAGUUCCCCGCCUGGGGAGUACGGCCGCAAGGCUAAAACUCAAAGGAAU
rnacentral:rRNA from 1 species